GGCUGGUCCGAAGGUAGUGAGUUAUCUCAAUUGAUUGUUCACAGUCAGUACAGAUUGAACUCCUUGUUCUAUUCUUUCCUCCUUCUCACUACUGUACUUGACUAGUCUUAA
ensembl:misc_RNA Y_RNA Y RNA